rnacentral:lncRNA from 1 species
GCCUUUUCUUUCUGGCAUGGAUCAAGAGAAAAGAAAAUACAAGAAAACAGACAGAAGAUCCUAUCUGCGACAAUUAAGAGCACUCUAAGAGGAAAACACAUCCCACCACACAAGGCAAGGUACUUCUAUGGAAGGGUGAGCCCUCACAGAUGGAGCAAUGGGGCGCGCACACCUGAACAAGGGAGGGGAAGGAGUUCUUAUCCCUGAUGCAUGUGACCCCUGCUGCUGUGUCCUUCCCCUAUUGGCUAAGGCUUCUGACAGCUUUGGAGAUUGUGACAUUGGAAUAAAGGAAAAACGUACAGGACUCAUGAAGCGCUGAAAUGUUCACAAAUAUCAAGCAAAAGUCAAUGAAAUUUAUUUUGAGCUAUUUACAUCAUUUAAUAAUUGAGCAAGGUAUACUCCUAUGAACAAAAUUUGGAGCAUGUUUGUCUCUCUCUGCCUGGCGUCUUCAGAAUUUGGAAACUAGUUAGUCAUGGAAAUUUAUUUUGAGCUAUUUACAGCAUUUAAUAAUUGAGCAAGGUAUACUCCUAUGAACAAAAUUUGGAGCAUGUUUGUCUCUCUCUGUCUGCCUGGCAUCUACAGAAUUUGGAAACUAGUUUCGUUCCCAGAUUUCCUAAACUUUCCAGAGAAAAUGGUCUUCUCCCUGGCUCAGCAAGAAGAUGAACUUUAAACACUGAGAAACUGGUCAUCUCCCUGGCUCAACCAGAAGAUGAACUUUAAACACUACUCUCAAUGACUUGAUGUUCCCAUCACUACUCCUGUCAUAAAGGGAGGGGACUCAGAUAUUGAGAAUUUUAUGAUAGUGUGAACUGUCUGCUGUCAGCCAGGAGGGCAGAGCUGAAAUUUAUUGCCACAUCACAUGAAGCAUAGAACAGACUCCACUACUCCUUGAGAUUCAAAACUUUGCCUCUCACAAAGUUACCUUUUAUUUUCCUCUUGUUUGUCACUCAUCUCCCCUAGUGUGCUCUUUUUAUUUCUUUUACUAUUAAUAAUAAAAUCUGUGGAUGACUG